AGUGAACGCUGGCGGCAGGCCUAACACAUGCAAGUCGAACGGCAGCACAGGAGAGCUUGCUCUCUGGGUGGCGAGUGGCGGACGGGUGAGGAAUACAUCGGAAUCUGCCUAUUUGUGGGGGAUAACCUCGGGAAACCGGGACUAAUACCGCAUACGACCUACGGGUAAAAGCAGGGGACCUUCGGGCCUUGCGCAGAUAGAUGAGCCGAUGUCGGAUUAGCUAGUUGGAGGGGUAAUGGCCAACCAAGGCGACGAUCCGUAGAUGGUCUGAGAGGAUGAUCAGCCACACUGGGACUGAGACACGGCCCAGACUCCUACGGGAGGCAGCAGUGGGGAAUAUUGGACAAUGGGCGAAUGCCUGAUCCAGCCAUGCCGCGUGAGUGAAGAAGGCCCUCGGGUUGUAAAGCUCUUUUGUUGGGAAAGAAAAGCAAUCGGUUAAUACCCGGUUGUUCUGACGGUACCCAAAGAAUAAGCACCGGCUAACUUCGUGCCAGCAGCCGCCGUAACAC
rnacentral:rRNA from 1 species